rnacentral:tRNA from 2 species
GGCGCAUUCGUCUAGUGGUUAGGACGCGGGCCUCUCAAGCCCGAAGCAGGGGUUCGAAUCCCCUAUGCGCCA